UUCAAGCCCUGGCCCAGGAACUUCCACAUCUAUUUGGUAUAUUUCGGUGUCACUUAUUAAAACAAAUACACAAAAAUUCAGGAGGACACAGGAAAACUUUUUAAAACUAGGGGGUAAGCUUAGUUUGAUUAGAAUAAAGUUGAGGCACGCAUAUUGGGGAGACAGCGAUAUACUGGUUUCCGUGGAAGCUUGUGAAAAGGGAAGUUACCCAGAGAAUUGGGUGCUUAAUAGAGCAAGGAGAGAGAGAAAAAAAUGGUCGUAGAAAACAGUCAGAACCACCACCACCACCACAAAGAGCUCACGGCACGUUAAAACAGGAGUGUGCGAGCUUAGGGCGCGGGUACCCGAGAGACGGAAUGUGCUGUAGGCACCAUGCGAGGCAGUUUCCCAGGGACCUGAGAAGAUGAGGCGUUACAGGAGGAACCCUAGAGACUUCAAUUACUUAGCAGCACUCUGACCACACAGUGGCUGCUCCUCUAGGCACCAAGCAUCAAUAAAACUUUUCACGUAGCAUAUUCAAUAUCAACAUUUUAUCAGAAUUCAUAUGCCCCCCAAUCUAUCCUGUGUCAGGAAUACAACUACAAUUUCUGGUGUCCUCUGACGCACUGUAAAAGAUAAUAACUGAUUCCUUAACCCUUUACAGGGAUCAAGGGAACUUUUUUCGGCUCUGACAUCACAUUCCUUCCUUUUACAGAGCAGAUUCAGUGUGAAGAAUCGCUUCAUAUAUUCCCCUGCUGUGAUUUAUAUUCUAGCAAUCACAGCCUAUUAGGCAGCCUGGGUCCUUACACAAGUCCCUUACUUUCCUAGCUUUUUAUUUCACAAACUCCUUUAGCAUCACAGCACAACACCUGUGAUCCCUUUGGCUCUUGCAAUUGUGGUCUUCUUCCUCAACUCCCUUCCUCAACUCUCAAUAUCUUCAGAGACUGCAUCUUGCCCAGGAAUGUCAAUUCUUCCCUUUCUUCCCUCGGUGUAGAAAAGUCUCUGACUUAGGUUACUCAUCACCCACCUUCCAUGGUGGGAGUCUAUCAGAUACAGAAGCCCUCCACUCUUGGUGGCUGCUCGUCUGGAAUCACGGGAAGUCUGAUGAUAACUGUCUCUAUGACUUCGGACAGAUGAAUCUAUUUCUUGGAGGGUAAAACUGGAAACGGUAUUGCUCUAUGUAAUCUUCAAGAGAUUUAAGAAAACACAUCUAAAGUUUUUGGCUAAAAUGCUAAAUUUAUCUAAAAUAUCUGAGACCUAGGAGAUACAUCAGGCUUAAGUGAAACAUGCUAAUGGGGACGCCAAGCAGCCACAAUCUUCAGCACAUCAGCUCCAUACACCAGUGAUCCAGAACCAGGUGUGACCUGGAGGGCCCAAGUUUUCCCUUGGAAAGAUGCGACUCCUCAGGGAUUCUCUUCAGAAUUAUUUUGCCCGAAUCCCUUUUUGGCUUCUAAUAUUCAGAAGUGUAUAUGACUACCUUGAGCGUGAGAUAGAAGAAGUAUUAAAAUCAUCUGCAGUAUCAUCAUCAUUGUGUUUGAAAAUGAUAACUUUUACUUAAUAUCAGAUAGCAGUGUUUACAGAGGCCAGAGACUUUUCCUGCAUGGAUUCUCAUCCUAGGUGCUUUCUAUACUUGGACAUGGGUUUACAAUGGGCUCCAUCCCAGAGCUUCUGAGCAGCCUCUGAGGAUGAUAAUCUGGCUCCUUCAGGGGAAGGGCAGCCUGCACCUGUGCCUAUCCCAGAACAGUGAUUUCACAUGAGCAAUGGUCAGUCCUACCUCUUGCUUUCCCUUCUACUUCCUGAAUCCUUCAGAUAUAUUAGGUAGGAAUCAGUUACCCAUUCUUUGCGCUUCAGAAGCCGUCCUCCAGGGGUAGCCAGCCACUCACCCUGCUGUUGGCUGGCUGGGUCUCCAGUUGGCCAAGCAUAAGGAUGUCUUGUAGACAGAAAAAAAGCCACUGAAUAUGGGCACAAGAGGAGAAUAAACACACAGUGGACCCUAAUGCAGAUAAUUCUUCAAGGAAGCAUAGGUGUCCUGAGUAGGGCAUCCAUUCCUCCUUCGGCAAUUCCAGAACCAGGAUGGGAUAUUUUUGUAUUCAGGAUCCUUGGCUCUGUCCAGCUAGGUGCCCUAUCAACACCACACCUCUGUGCCUUAACUGCUCUAAUCUGCAUGGCCACUUUUGACCAGUGCAUUCCCUCAGGACCCAUUUUUUUUCCCUUAAUAUGACCUCCAGGGAAAUAAAUGAUGUCACUGCCAUGGGGAAACUGUCUUUUGCUCAGAAAAAGGAGGUGGCCGUGCCAGAUCCCCAGUGUGGGGGUCCAGGUUCAGCCACAAGUGGCACUGAGAAGGGCCCUUGGGACCAUCUGAUGGAGAAAAACAAUGGGCUUAGUCAAUUGGAAUGUGCAAUAAACAGUCUGUGCUCUGAAUAACUCAGCAGUUACUAGCUGUUGCAUGGUGGGACAAUUAAUCAAAAAUUUUAUAUUUUUGCAGCUAAACAACAGGAAUAAUGAAACCUGCCUCACUGAGCUAUUGUGAGGAAGGCAAAACGUUGUAGGUAACAAAUAAAUUUAUUACUCAAAAGCAGUGCUUGUGAUCACAAUUACAAACAAUCAGAAGCUAUGAGAUUUAGCCCCAGUCGGUCCAUAACACUCAGCACUUUUACCAUCUGCCUGUUAGAAGGGUAAACAUGCCACUAUAUUCAUCCAGCAAAAAUUCCUAUUUACCUGGCCCUCGAAUCUCCUCUGAGUGAUCCUGAGACGUCAUAUUAAACGGGAACGAUAAAGGUAUCGAGGACACAAAACGAGCUCGAUGCCUGUGGCCUCACGAUAUAGCAAAGACAUAAAUCCCUACUUGUCAAGGGCAUGUUCUCUGUCCCUUUCCAAAUCCCACAGGUCGUAGGUAGGAGAGCGGAGGAUGAGCUGACAAAUCUCUGCUCCAAAUUAAAAUCUAACGCUGUGCGAAGUUUCCACGGUUCUUCCCCUGUUGUCAGGAAAUUCAGCUCAGUUAUGCUGUUGCUGUUUCCGAAGACCGAUUCUUUUUUUUUUCUUUUUCUCAUAAUUCAAAAUAUAACUGUCAACAUCUCUGUUCAUAAAGUAAACUAUUUCUCUGACCUAUCAUUUUGUUUCCACUCACUCCCAUAUGCCAGAUAAAUGCAAGUGUUUUCUAAUAUAAUUUGGGUUCAGGGCAAAAUGACUUCAUGAAAGUUUUUAGGGGAUGCCACAGAUCCCUCAGAGAACACAUUUUUUUUUUUGAUAUGCUUUUCCAAAAUUUAAUUUUAUUGUGUUUUUACUGUUCGAAAUGUUAAUUCUUUGUAUUGCCUACAUCCUAUCUUCCUAAAAUGUACAGUAAGCCACCAUUCCAAUAGAAUUAGCAACAACAACAACAACAACAACAACAAAAAACCCAAAUAAAUAAAGCAAGCUUCAAUUAAUCAUGUUUGGAAUAAACCGCAGAUUGUAAAAUGCCGAUGAGCGGCAGCUGGGACAAGGAUAAGCCAGAUGACAGUUGAGGGCACACACUUAUGAUGAGUAGUAAGUCCUAGCGACCUAAUGUACAGAAAAAUGAAUAUAGACGACAGUGGUGUAUGACAAUCAUCAGACUUGCUAAGAGGCUAGAUCUUAAUUAUUCCAAUUUAAUAAUUAUGUGACUUCAUAGUGGCGCUAUCACUGCAGCGUCAGUCAUAAUGCAGUAGACACAUGUAUUAAAUACACACAUUUACACCUUAAAAUUUAUACCAUGCUGUAUGUCAAUUUUUUUUUUUUUUUUUUUUUGUCUUUUCUAGGGCUGCACCCGUGGCAUAUGGAGGGUCCCAGGCUAAGGGUCUAAUCGAAGCUGUAGCCGCCGACCUACACCACAGCCACAGCAACGCAGGAUCCAAGCCGUGUUUGCAACCUACCCCACAGUUCACAGCAACACCACAUUCUUAACUCAAGUAGCAAGGCCAGGGAUCGAACCCGCAACCUCGUAGUUCCUAAUCGGAUUCGUUAACUGCUGAGCCAUGAAGGGAACUCUGUGUGUCAAUAUAGUUUGUAAAAAAAUCAAGCCAAAAAUGAAAAAGAAACCCUGCACGUUGUAACAUCACCACAAUGUUUCAGAGAAAUCCCGUCCCGAGGAAACGUAAUACAAUUUAACCCAGACGUUUCCAGACCCAUGACAUCCAGACAGCAGUUAUUAACAUCUGAAACCUGUGUUCUGGAGAACUCAGUUUGGGAAUGGAAGUUGAAAGCAUCCUUGAUUUAAGGCCCUGGUUCUCAACAGGAAGCAGUGUUUUCCCCUAACAGGGUAAUUGGAAAUAUCGAGGGCCUUUUUUGGUCGCCGUAACUGGGAAAAUGUCUAUGUUAAUGGCAUCUAGUUUAUGGAUGCUAGGAUUUCUUCCAAACAUCCUGUAAUGAGGACAGAACCUCAAUAAAGGAUUACCCAGUUCAAAUGCCAGUACUGCCAAGGUUGAGAAAUCCUUUUUAAGGGGAGAAGGGCAGGGAACAAACCUAAAAAUCAGUUUUCUAUGUUUAAAUCUCAGGAUAAAUGAAGGCAAAUGGCAUGAACUCUAGAACCAUGACAGUAAAGAGCACGGGGGACUGUCAUUCCAGAGGCCCUGAUCUUUGAAUCUCAGUUCUGAUACUUUGACUGUAUAACCUAGAAAAUUUGUUGAGCCAUGUGUGCCUCUGUUUCCUAUGUAUACAAUGAGCACAGAGUAAUUUUAUCUAUCUCCUAUGUUUUAUUUUAAUGUUCUGAGUUAAUACAUACAUGCAGCAUUUAGAAUAUAUGAAAUAGUAACAAAAAAUCAAAAAUUGAUUCUGUUCCUUUGAUACAGAUUUGUUAUUGAAAGAGUUAUUCACAGUAUUCUGCCAGUACCCCAGUUCUGUGACACUGUAUUUUGUGCUCUAAACUGUAACUGUUUUCAAAGAUCCUGGCAAAUGUUUUCAAGAAUACAUGAAAUUUCAUAGCCAUUAAGCAAUUAAAUCAUAAGACUAAUUUCUCUGGAUCUAAUCUCAUGAGGAUCAGACAGCCUUUUAACAAUGAUUCAAGUUUCCAUGUAUUCUUAUUUUCAGAAAGCAAACUCUCUUUCCUUUGAAGAUAUGCAUCAACUUUAGAAAAGUUUCCUUUUUACAUAUUAAUUUCAUAUGUUGACUUUCAGACAUGUCAAAUGAGUUUGGUUUUGGGGCAUUCAGCUCUCUCGCUAUCUUAUUAGUCGUGAAAUAUUAAUGAGAUUAAUUUUUUCUGAAAAGGUAAAAUAAUCUAGGGAAAAUAAAAAUAAGCAAAACAAUAAUCUGUCUAAUGAUAUUUUUGAACUUUUUUUUAACCUCCAUCUAAUUCAGUAAGACAUACUUUAAAUGAUGUGUUGCUUUGUUGAUUCUUUCUUCUUGAGGGUUCAUUCCUGCUUCCUUAUCCCCAGUUUUCCCGGAUAGCAUCAUUCUCCCAAAUUUCAUUAUUUUCAUAAAUUCUUACACUAUAUCCCCAUAUCACAUGCCUAUUUCCCCUAAAUAAAAUGCUACAGGCGUUGUCAGCUGAGCUGAUGGGGGAGUGAAUAGGGAAAGGCCCUAUUUCAAAGUAAGUUUUCUUCACUGGAGAAAACUGUCUAAAUGUAUUUCAAAGGAGGGGUUGAUGUAUUUUUUUGUGUUUUAAUAUUAUCUAUAAAGUGACUUGUUACUAAUUCUUGUUAAAAGUGAAUUAGGAUGAUGAGAAUGAGGACGAUGUGGGGGUGUGUGCUGGGAAGUCUGAGAAGCUUUCAUUGGCUUAAGGUCGUCUGUUCACAGAGACACAAGUUCGUCCUCAGUCCGACUCAAAGAGAUCAUGUGGAGACUGUGUGAAACAGAGUGACGUGACUUAAGAUGUGCAAGUUAAUGAAAACUGGUCUUUCGAUGGAAAAGCACUCGAACUUCAUAUCCUAACACUGGGCAUUUCUGAACUCAUCUCAUUGGCUGUUGGAGUUCAUUUCGGUUUCUGGGUCAGUUUGUUUAUUGAACAUAAUACAGGCAGGAAGAAAUGGAAAUCACGACUCCUCUCUUCACGGCCCUUUGUUUGGAGCAGAUCAAGCUGCUCUGAAACAAACUGGUGCUAAUACCGAAGUGGGGCAU
rnacentral:lncRNA from 1 species